AUGACUUUCAUCACCAUCCUCAUCUGGACACUGACCUGCUGCUGUUUUGAAGAAUCCAGUGGUCAGGUGACUGUGACUCAGACUCCUGUAGUGAAAUCUGUUCUUCCAGGAGACUCUGUUACUGUGAGAUGUAAGACCAACACAGCUGUUUACACCUGUAGCAGUUCUCAGGACUGUUUAGCCUGGUACCAACAGAAACCUGGAGAGGCUCCUAAACUCCUGAUUUAUUAUGCAACAACCCGUCAGUCUGGAGUUCCAGAUCGUUUCAGUGGCAGUGGAUCUGGGACUGACUUCACUCUGACCAUCAGUAACAUCCAGACUGAAGAUGCAGGAGAUUAUUACUGUCAGAGUUUCCAUUACCCAGGCAGCACUCGUCUGUUCACACAGUGA